UCCGUGGUGGUCCAGUGGUUAGGUCUCAGCGCUUUCACUGCUGAGGCCACGAGUUCAAUUCCUGGUCACGGAU
rnacentral:tRNA from 1 species